GCAUGUGUCAUAUAUUUUAUUAUUUUUUUUAUAAACACAUUUAGGAUAUGCCGGCUUGGAUUGAAGAUAUGAUUAUAUUGUCAAACAAAAGUAAAGGCACUUUAGAGUCGUUAGGUUUAGAAAACCUACCAGAUUUCAACGAAUGCAAAAAGAUUAGCAAUUUUCAGGAACAAAUUCUAUGCAUAGUUGAAGCACUUGAAGACAUUAAGGACACUUACCAAAAUGCUAAAGACAUAACUUCACUAACAGCAAGAGUUUUGGCUGGAGGAAGACUAGCCGUACGGGCUUUAUCAAGACUGCAAACUUUGGCCUCAACCAUUGAUAACAAACAGCUAAUGAAAAAAAUAGGAACACCAAUGGCUACACUGAUAUUACUGCAAAGAGAAACUACAUCAGAUAGAACCAGGUGGUUAUGUGGAUCUAUUUUAACUCUGUUAACUGAUUUACCAGUAGUAUCAGACAUAGCGGAUGUAAAUACAGGGUCGUAUGGUCACGUAAACGUCAUCAUGCCCAGACAGUCUAGAAUUAGAAAUCCUGAUAGAACAAUUUUGAGGCUAAGAGAAGGUGUUUCACCUUCAGAUCUAAUAAAUGGAUAUACAUCAAUUCUAGCGAAUUAUACAAUAUAAACCUUUUCCGAAGGAUUGUUUUAUUUUUUUUUUAUAAAUUGUUUUGUUUUAUUUUUUUAUUUAAAAAGAAAAAGUAAAAACACAUUGUUUCACAUUUUUAAAAUAAAAAUGUUUAAUUUUUUUAAUUUUUUGUUUUA
ensembl:lncRNA